GUCCCAGUAGCACAGUGGAUAACAUGUUAGACUUUUAUUUCAAAGGUCCUGGGUUUGAGUCCCAGCUGAAAUA